CAAAAUAGAAAAAAUCAUCUAUAUCUUUCUGUUAACAUUAUCCAUGUUUCUUCCACUGGACAGGUUAUAAUUUAUUUUUAUUAAUAAAAUUAUAACCCUCUAGCUUGUGUAAACAUUCACUUGCUGGAGAGUUGCCAGUGGGCAAUUUUACCAAAACUUGGCUUUUAUGAUUUAAGAUCUUCAAUUGUAUUGAAAAGGGGAAUUGAAAAAA
rnacentral:misc_RNA from 1 species